UCAGCUGAUAUGAUGUCAUCCACUUCAUU
rnacentral:sRNA from 1 species